AACGAACGCUGGCGGCAUGCCUAACACAUGCAAGUCGAACGAGACCUUCGGGUCUAGUGUCGCAAGGGUGCGUAACGCGUUGGAACCUGCCCUUAGGUUCGGAAUAACUCCCCGAAAGAGGUGCUAAUACCGGAUGAUGUCUUCGGACCAAAGAUUUAUCGCCUUUGGAUGGGCCCGCGUUGGAUUAGCUCGUUGGUAGGGUAAAAGCCUACCAAGGCGACGAUCCAUAGCUUGUCUGAGAGGAUGAUCAGCCACACUGGGACUGAGACACGGCCCAGACUCCGACGGGAGGCAGAAGUGGGGAAUAUUGGACAAUGGGCGAAAGCCUGAUCCAGCAAUGCCGCGUGAGUGAUGAAGGCCUUAGGGUUGUAAAGCUCUUUUACCCGGGAUGAUAAUGACAGUACCGGGAGAAUAAGCUCCGGCUAACUCCGUG
rnacentral:rRNA from 1 species